rnacentral:lncRNA from 1 species
CAAGUCUCUUCUCUACAAACUCAAAGUGGUUUUUGUGGAAACACCACGGAUCCUCGUAAUGAAAGUUGUAAUUCCAUUAAUUUGAGGAGUAGAGAAGUUUCAUCACCAGAAGGAUGAGAGUAAAAAUGGUGUAGUUGAAAAGAUGAGGGAUGGUGUAGUUGUAAAUAGAAGAGAAAAUAAGAAAGAAGAAAAAAAUAAGGAAGAAAAAGCUUAUGAGGGUGAAGUUGAAAAGAGAGUGGAGAAUGAGUCUAGUGCCAAGAAAGGCAAGAAACCUCUUGUGAAGGACCCCAAGUUUCAAGUUCCUUCACCAUAUGCUAGAGUGCCUUAUCCUAGGAUGAAGAAGGUCAAGAACCAAGACCUUGAAUUUUGUGGAGAGGUAUCCGAA